rnacentral:rRNA from 1 species
UACGUAGGUGGCAAGCGUUGUCCGGAAUUAUUGGGCGUCAAGCGCGCGCAGGCGGUUCUUUAAGUCUGAUGUGAAAGCCCACGGCUCAACCGUGGAGGGUCAUUGGAAACUGGAGAACUUGAGUACAGAAGAGGAAAGCGGAAUUCCACGUGUAGCGGUGAAAUGCGUAGAGAUGUGGAGGAACACCAGUGGCGAAGGCGGCUUUCUGGUCUGUAACUGACGCUGAGGCGCGAAAGCGUGGGGAGCAAACAGG